AACGAACGCUGGCGGCAGGCUUAACACAUGCAAGUCGAGCGCCCCGCCAGGGGGGCGGCGGACGGGUGAGUAACGCGUGGGAACGUACCUUUUGGUUCGUCACAACUCCGGGAAACUGGAGCUAAUACCGGAUAAGCCCUAACGUGGUAAGAUUUAUCGCCUAAAGAUCGGCCCGCGUCUGAUUAGCUCGUUGGUGGGGUAACGGCUCACCAGUGCGACGAUCAGGAGCUUGUCUGAGAGGAUGAUCAGCCACACUGGGACUGAGACACGGCCCAGACUCCUACGGGAGGGAGCAGUGGGGAAUAUUGGAAAAUGGGGGCAAGCAUGAUCCAGCCAGGCCGGGUGAGUGAUGAAGGCCUUAGGGUUGUAAAGCUCUUUUGUCCGGGAAGAUAAUGACUGUACCGGAAGAAUAAGCCCCGGCUAACUUCGUG
rnacentral:rRNA from 1 species